GAUGAGCGCUGACAGAAUGCUUAACACAUGCAAGUCUUUGGCGAAGCUGUGCUUGCACAGCCUAGCCAAGGCGGACGGGUGAGUAACGCGUAAGGAACUUGCCCUGCAGUCAGGGAUAACAGACGGAAACGACUGAUAAGACCUGGUAAAGUCAGGCGGACUCAUGUCCAGCCUGAUGAAAAGAGAUGCUGCAGGAGAGCCUUGCGUCCUAUUAGCUUGUUGGUGGGGUAACGGCCCACCAAGGGGAUGAUAGGUAGCCGGCCUGAGAGGGUGGACGGCCACAAGGGGACUGAGAUACGGCCCUUACUCCUACGGGAGGCAGCAGUGGGGAAUAUUGGACAAUGGGGGCAACCCUGAUCCAGCAAUUCUGUGUGCACGAUGAAGGUUUUCGGAUUGUAAAGUGCUUUCAGCAGGGAAGAAAAAAAUGACGGUACCUGCAGAAGAAGCGACGGCUAAAUACGUG
rnacentral:rRNA from 1 species